rnacentral:siRNA from 1 species
GAAUCGAUCCCUAACCUAGACCAA